AUUUUCUAAGUAUGCACAGUACAGUUGACUUCCAAUCAACAAGCUCUGGCCACAGCCCAGAAGAAAAUA
rnacentral:tRNA from 1 species